GGAUGGAUAGUCUAGCUACUCGCAUUUAAUCAAAUUGCGAGCUAUAUUGGCUAUGAUUCCGGUUUCGGGAAUCGGAGGUCGUGGGUUCAAAUCCCACUCCAUCCACCA
rnacentral:tRNA from 1 species